rnacentral:tRNA from 1 species
GGCGUGUAGCUCAGUGGUAGAUCUCUUGUUUGGCAUGCCCAAGGCCCUGGGUUUAAUCCCCAGCACCA